CCCCACUAUUCUAGCCCUAAAACUUAACCACUUCUAGGGCACUCUACGAAAAACCUUUAAAACCCAAAGAACUUGGCGGCAUUUCACACCCAAUCAGGGGAGCCUGUCCUAGAACUGAUACCCCACAACUAACCCCACUUGCGCUUGCCCCCCAGCUUGUAUACCGCCGUCGACAGCCCACCUACUAAAGAAACAGUAUGCUCCAAGGAAAAAUCCCUAUACGUCAGGUCAAGGUGCAGCCAAUGCGCAAGAAGAGAUGGGCUACAAUAACCAACAAACUCGAACCUCCCAAUGAAAAAAGAGCAAAGAAGGACUUGAAAGUAACAACAACAACCCAAAGUACUCCUGUGAAUGGGGCAAUAAAAUGUGC
rnacentral:rRNA from 1 species